UACAGGGGGUGCAAACGUUGCUCGGAAUCAUUGGGCGUAAAGCGCACGUAGGCGGUCUGUUAUGUCGGAUGUGAAAGCCCUUGGCUCAACUGAGGAAGUGCAUCCGAAACUGGCAGGCUAGAGUACUAAAGAGGAUCGCGGAAUUCCCGGUGUAGAGGUGAAAUUCGUAGAUAUCGGGAGGAACACCGGUGGCGAAGGCGGCGAUCUGGGUAGAUACUGACGCUGAGGCGCGAAGGCGUGGGGAGCGAACGGGG
rnacentral:rRNA from 1 species